CCGGCUGCCGCCCGUGGGACCGGCGAUCCCGGCGGGCCUGGGGAGCACGCCUGGCAAAACUGCAAAUGAGGGGCAGGGUUUGCAGUCACCGACACCCCUGAGCGCGCCUCCCUCCAGGGAAAGGAUGGCUUCUUUUCCUUUUCCCACGUAGGGAGGGAGACACGUUUCCAGGCGCUGUGUGAGUUUCGCCUGGUCUUGCAGGGGAGGGAGGGGAAAGCUGAUGGCCGCCCCUCUGGAGCACCCCAGGUAUGAGACCAGGAAGAGGAUGUGUGCUUCCUAAGAAAAAGUGACUGGAUUUGUUCUGGGCUUCCUGUGGGAUUCUGGGAGAAAAAUGAAAAGGCUUUGCUGCUGAGGCUAAUGAAGUAUGACUGUGAAGGGGGCUCCUAAUGCUAGUGCGAAGCAAGGCUCACAAGCUUCAAAUGUUUUCUUGGAUGAUCUCCAAACCUUCUGCCCUCCUUUGGGCUACAGCUGAGGUUGGAGACCUCAGAGCUGUGGAGACUUCAGUGCAGCUGCUUCCAAGCAAAACCAGAGCCAUCACAAUGAAAAUAAAUAAAUAAACAAAUAGUGCU